rnacentral:lncRNA from 1 species
UCAGCCCAGCUCCACCCCUAGGAAUUCUUUGCCAGCCAUCUUUCCCUCAUCUCUCUUCUCACAGUUCCCAGGCUCUGACACACCUAUCUCCCUUACCUGCCAGGGAAAAACUCAGUGCAGAGGAAUUUCCUUCUCAACCGAUACCCUGGUCCAGGUUUCAGCACUGAUCCAACUGGAAAGGCUCAUUAAUGACUUUACCUAAACCAAGGAGCCAUGCAGCCUCAAGAUAAAUUCCUUUACUUCUUGACAACAACAACAAAAAUUGCUGCAUUUUUUUAAAAGCAAAAUCUGUCUUCCUUUUACAUAGGUGUCUGCAUCUUUCCCUUCUACCACCAUGAGUUUAUCCCUUCCCUUCUUUUCUCUUUAAAGAGGUGGCAGUAGCUUACUCCUUUCACCAAAUCUGGGAAGCAAUGACUUGAAUAAGAGAUUGUCCUGGUGCUUCAGCUCAGGCCCAAGGCUCCCUUGGCUGGGAAGGCCCAAGGAAGAUGGGCCUGUCCCCAAGGAGAGCAGGGAGCAGAAGAUCGGACCUUCCGCUUCAUACCCAGGACCGAAGGAGCUGUCAGCUAGCUUGCAAAUCAUUUUUCAAUCCAUAAAAUAGCAGUCCCCGUACCAUGCAAUCAUUUUAAGAAAGAACAGUUUUUGCUCUGGAAUAUAGGAGAGAUUCUAGACUCCUUUUGCCCUUCCCCAGAUUAUCACAGCCAUAUCUGCAACCCCCAGAACAUUUGGAAAGCAAAGGAAAGUGUAAAGAAGCUGAAAAAAAUCACCCAUAAUCUUCUCAUUUAGAUUCAAUCGCAGUAAUGAGUUUGGUAUUUUUCUAUUCUAUUCUUUUCUCCGCAUUUUUUCAUUGUAUGGUCACGUUUGUACUUACAUCAGCACUGUUCAAGACACAUAUGUGAACCACAAAUAUGAGUUACAUAUGUAAUUUUAAAUGUUUUCGUAGCCUCAUUCAAGAAAAAUCAAAACAGCCAAAAUUAUUUUUAACAAUAUAUUUUAUCUAACCCAAUAGAUCCAAAAUAUUAUUUCACCAUAUAAUCAACAUAAAAAUUAAUGAAAUAUUUUACAUUCUUUUUGAGCAUUUGAAAUCUUUUUUCUUUUUCUAUUCUAUAGCGGAUCUCAAUUUGGACUACCCACAUUUCCAGUACUCAAUAGCCCCAUGGGGCUAGAGGCUAUGGUAUCGGGCAGCACAGUUCUAUACCAUUUCUAUCUUGCUUUUGUUUUUGCUUAAAUUGCUUCCUAGGUCUUUCCUCAUAUCAUAAGUUAUCUUUUGAAAAAAGUAACAUGUGUUUACUAUCUAAUUCCAAAGGUAAUAUAUUUGCUUCUGUUUUGUUUGUCUUCACUCAGGGACAAUUUGUGUUAGCCAUUUGAUAUAAUUACUUCUAGACUAUUUUCUCAGCAGAUAUUCAUAUUGAACAAAAAUUGGAUGCAUACAAUAUGUUCUGUUUUAUAACCACUCUUUUCACUUAACAAUACACAUUG